rnacentral:rRNA from 1 species
AUUGAACGCUGGCGGCAGGCCUAACACAUGCAAGUCGAACGGUAACAGGAAGCAGCUUGCUGCUUCGCUGACGAGUGGCGGACGGGUGAGUAAUGUCUGGGAAGCUGCCUGAUGGAGGGGGAUAACUACUGGAAACGGUAGCUAAUACCGCAUAAUGUCGCAAGACCAAAGAGGGGGACCUUCGGGCCUCUUGCCAUCGGAUGUGCCCAGAUGGGAUUAGUUUGUUGGUGGGGUAACGGCUCACCAAGGCGACGAUCCCUAGCUGGUCUGAGAGGAUGACCAGCCACACUGGAACUGAGACACGGUCCAGACUCCUACGGGAGGCAGCAGUGGGGAAUAUUGCACAAUGGGCGCAAGCCUGAUGCAGCCAUGCCGCGUGUAUGAAGAAGGCCUUCGGGUUGUAAAGUACUUUCAGCGGGGAGGAAGGGAGUAAAGUUAAUACCUUUGCUCAUUGACGUUACCCGCAGAAGAAGCACCGGCUAACUCCGUG